rnacentral:tRNA from 1 species
CCUGGCUUAGUUUAAUUAAAAUGUUGUUUUGUGGAAACAAAGAUAAGCUUAUUAGCUAGAU